rnacentral:rRNA from 1 species
UACGGGGGGGGCAAGCGUUGUUCGGAAUUACUGGGCGUAAAGGGCUCGUAGGCGGCCAACUAAGUCAGACGUGAAAUCCCUCGGCUUAACCGGGGAACUGCGUCCGAUACUGGAUGGCUUGGAUUUGGGAGAGGGAUGCGGAAUUCCAGGUGUAGCGGUGAAAUGCGUAGAUAUCUGGAGGAACACCGGUGGCGAAGGCGGCAUCCUGGACCAAUAUUGACGCUGAGGAGGCGAAAGCCAGGGGAGCAAACGGG